CCGGUCUUCGCGCAUGCGUACCUCGGGCGACGCCGUUGGCGGGUUAUUCCAGGUUCUUCUCCCGGUAGAGCUGAAAGGUAGCUUUCGGACGCAGGUUUUCCGCUGGAAAGCGACUUUUGGAGGGUUCACCGCCGCCUUCCCUACCGGGAUAAGUUGAAAAAGAAGUAGUUCUCUUGGUCGUCGGAGGGCAUAGACCCAGUGGUCACGUGGCGGGUCGCUGUCACCUUCCGCCCGGCUCCUCCGGGGUCACCAUGGCCGUGUCCACCCAGCAGCUGGCGGAGGAGCUGCAGAUCUUCGGCCUGGACUGCGAGGAUGCCCUGAUGGAGAAGUUGGCCGAGCUUUGUGUUCUGUACAGACAGAAUGAGGAGGGGAUGGUGGGCGAGCUCAUCGCCUUCUGCACCAGCGCAGGGAAGGCUCGCCUUACCUCAGAGAUCCUGAACUCUUUUGAGCAUGAGGUUCUGAACAAAAAAUUAUCCAAAGCCUGGCACAGCACCUCCAAGGACAGUGAGCACGCGGGAGCCAGAGACAUUGUCUCCAUACAGGAGCUGAUUGAAGUGGAGGAGGAAGAGGAGUCCCUUUUGAACUCUUACACCACACCCUCUAAGGGCCCUCAGAAGCGAGCUAUCAGCACCCCAGAAACCCCCCUAACAAAAAGGAGUGUGUCCACUCGCAGCCCACAUCAGAUUCUCUCACCAUCCAGUUUCUCUCCAGGUGCUACCCCCUCCCAGAAGUACAGCUCCAGAAAUAAUCGAGGAGAAGUGGUGACCACCUUUGGCUCGGCACUGGGCGUGGCUUGGUCUGGGAGAGGAGGAGCUGGGAACAUCAGCCUCAAGGUCCUAGAGCCACUAACAGGCAGCUACAAAUCAAUGUUUCAGAAGCUCCCAGACAUCCGAGAAGUUCUGACCUGUAAGAUAGAAGAGCUCGGCCGCGAACUCAAGGAGCAUUACAAGAUUGAGGCCUUUACUCCUCUUGGAGUCCCAGCACAGGAGCCCAUCACCCUCCUGGGCCAGGUUGGCUGUGACAGCAACGGGAAGCUGAAUAGCAAGUCAGUGAUUCUGGAGGGAGACCGGGAGCAUUCCCUGGGCACGCAGAUUCCUGUGGAUCUGUCUGAGCUUGAGGAAUACUCUCUCUUUCCUGGACAGGUUGUAAUUAUGGAAGGAUUCAACACCACUGGUAGAAAACUUACUGCUACCAAACUCUACGAGGGUGUGCCGCUUCCGUUUUAUCAGCCCACUGAAGAGGAUGGAGAUUUUGAGCAAACCAUGGUCUUAGUGGCCUGUGGACCAUACACCACAUCUGACAGCAUCACAUACAACCCCCUGCUUGACCUGAUCAGCAUCAUCACCCAUGACCGGCCGGAUGUCUGCAUCCUGUUUGGACCUUUCCUGGAUGUUAAACAUGAGGAGGUGGAGAACUGUCGACUGACAAGUUCAUUCGAGGAUGUUUUCAAGCAGUGCCUGAGAACAGUUAUCGAAGGGACAAGAAGCUCCGGCUCUCACCUUGUCUUCAUCCCAUCCCUGAGGGACGUGCACCAUGAGCCCGUGUACCCACAGCCACCUUUCAUCUACUCCGAGCUGUCUCAAGAGGACAAAAAGCGAGUGCAGUUUGUGUCGGAGCCUUGCAGCCUCUCCAUAAAUGGAGUGAUCUUUGGCUUGACGUCCACAGACCUGCUGUUUCACAUGGGGGCUGAGGAGAUCAGUAGAAUCACUGACCUGGAACUCACUGUGUAGACCAGGCUGGCUUUGAUCUGACAGAGAUCUGGCUGCCUCUGCUGGGAUUAGAGGCAUGCAACACCGUGCCUGGCUUAGACCGGGUGUCUUAAGAGCCACACUUUAUGCCAAAAACUUUGGCCAUUUGUGUCUCUGCCAAAGGUGGGAUCAAGUAUGCUUGUUCCCAUCUACCGGGUCUAAGACCUCAAAGAACCACAUCUGUGUGUCUUCGCAUGAAGGUACAGGCUGAAAGUCUACUCUCUACUCCCUUUUCCCUUUCCUCUCUCUACUCCCUUUUUCCUCGUGUUCUAUUUGUGACCUGAGCACACAGGUUUGCCUUUCUGUGGAGGGUGAACUGUGGAUUUACCAGAAUAGUGAACGUGUGGCUGGCAGAGAACCAGACUCAGCCAGACCUGGCCUCUGGGCUUGGCAGUUGGCUCAUCUGUCAAGUCUUGCUUGAUGGGAAGGAGAUGGGCGAGUCAGGAGUUCAGGAGCUGGGUGUGUGCUUUGGACUGAGGUUUGACACAAAGUCAGCGACCUGUGGUGGUGAAGUUGCAUCUUCUUGCACAAGACGGUGCCAGGGCUGAGACCUCCCUUAUCCUGGUUUCCAGGAUUUUUCUCUUUCCGAGGCCCAGAGCCUCGCUGCCCUGUCCUGGGGAACAACCCACUGCCUGGGGUGGGCCCCAAGCUUCCCCAGAGGCUUCCUGCUAUAGCUGUGUUCCUGCCGUUUAGCUUUUCCCCUGCUAAGUCUGAAGAGGCCUGGGCUGGAAACCAGGUUCCACUGUCUAUCUCUUGCUCGCUUCCUUUCCCAGCUCUUCCGGGACUUCCGACAGAUUCAGCAGAAUUCUCAAGCACAUCCUGACCCAGAGGAGCUACUACCCGCUCUACCCACCCCAUGAGGACAUGGCCAUAGACUAUGAGAAUUUCUACACCUACGCACAGCUGCUGGUCACUCCAGAUGUCUUCAUAGUCCCAUCAGAGCUGAGGUACUUUGUGAAGGACAUAUUCGGCUGUGUCUGUAUGAAUCCUGGACGGCUCACCAAAGGGCAGGUGGGAGGUACCUUCGGCCGUCUUUACCUCA